rnacentral:rRNA from 1 species
GAGCACGUAGGUGGGUUUGUAAGUCAGAUGUGAAAGCCUUCUGUUCAACGGAAGAAUUGCAUCUGAAACUGCGAGUCUUGAGUGUAGGAGGGGAGAAUGGAACUUCUGGUGGAGCGGUGAAAUGCGUAGAUAUCAGAAGGAACGCCGGCGGCGAAAGCGAUUCUCUGGCCUAUUACUGACACUCAGUGUGCGAAAGCUAGGGGAGCAAACGGGAUUAGAUACCCCGGUAGUCCUAGCCGUAAACGAUGGGCACUAAGUAGAGGGAAUUACCGAUAUUCUCUCUGCCGUAGCUAACGCAUUAAGUGCCCCGCCUGGGGAGUACGGCCGCAAGGCUAAAACUCAAAAGAAUUGACGGGGGCUCGCACAAGCGGUGGAGCAUGUGGCUUAAUUCGAUGCAACGCGAAAAACCUUACCGGGGCUUGACAUGAUAGAAGUAGGAACCCGAAAGGGUAACGAACGGUAUCCAGUCCGUAGCUAUUACAGGUGUUGCAUGGCUGUCGUCAGCUCGUGUCGUGAGACGUUGGGUUAAGUCCCCUAACGAGCGAAACCCUUGUUUUUAGUUGCCAUCGGGUUGUGCCGGGCACUCUAGAAAGACUGCCGUCGUCAAGACGGAGGAAGGUGGGGACGACGUCAAGUCAUCAUGGCCCUUAUGCCCCGGGCUGCACACGCGCUACAAUGGUCGGUACAAACGGAAGCGAAGCCGAGAGGUGAAGCGAAUCC